AACCAUAGAAACCUGCGGAGUACCUGCGGAAGGAUCAUCACAGAGUUGCAAAACUCCCUAAACCAUUGUGAACGUUACCUAAACCGUUGCUUCGGCGGGCGGCCCGGGUCCUUCCCGGCGCCCCUCGGCCCUCGCGGGCGCCCGCCGGAGGUAAACCAAACUAUUGCAUUGUAUGGCCUCUCUGAGUCUUCUGUACUGAAUAAGUCAAAACUUUCAACAAUGGAUCUCAGAUCGGAAGAG
rnacentral:misc_RNA from 1 species